GUGCUAUGAUGAAAAUUUCAUUUGUGUCGGAGACUUUUGGUCUGUGAUGGUUUACACUACCCUCUAAGAAGUUCUGAGCAC
rfam:Nicotiana sylvestris Nsyl_contig129070, whole genome shotgun sequence.